rnacentral:rRNA from 1 species
AGCGAACGCUGGCGGCAGGCCUAAUACAUGCAAGUCGAGCGGGUCCUUCGGGACUAGCGGCGGACGGGUGAGUAACGCGUGGGAACGUGCCCUUUGGUACGGAACAACUGAGGGAAACUUCAGCUAAUACCGUAUGUGCCCUUCGGGGAAAGAUUUAUCGCCAUUGGAGCGGCCCGCGUUGGAUUAGGUAGUUGGUGAGGUAAAGGCUCACCAAGCCUACGAUCCAUAGCUGGUCUGAGAGGAUCGACCAGCCACACUGGGACUGAGACACGGCCCAGACUCCUACGGGAGGCAGCAGUAGGGAAUCUUGCGGCAAUGGGCGAAAGCCUGACGCAGCCAUGCCGCGUGAAUGAUGAAGGUCUUAGGAUUAGU